GAUGAACGCUGGCGGCGUGCCUAAUACAUGCAAGUCGAACGAGGUGCUUUUUGUAGCAAUACGAGGAGUAUCCUAGUGGCGAACGGGUGAGUAACGCGUGGGUGACCUACCCCAAAGUGUGGAAUAACAGUCCGAAAGGAUUGCUAAUGCCGCAUGUGGUCUGCGAGUUUAGAAAUCGUUGACUAAAGGAGCAAUUCGCUUUGGGAGGGACCUGCGUCCCAUCAGCUAGUUGGUGAGGUAACGGCUCACCAAGGCUACGACGGGUAGGGGACCUGAGAGGGUGGCCCCCCACAAUGGAACUGAAACACGGUCCAUACACCUACGGGUGGCAGCAGUAGGGAAUAUUGCACAAUGGGCGAAAGCCUGAUGCAGCAACGCCGCGUGCGCGAUGAAGGUCUUCGGAUCGUAAAGCGCUUUUCUGAGAGAUGAGAAAGGACAGUAUCUCAGGAAUAAGUCUCGGCUAACUACGUGCCAGCAGCCGCGGU
rnacentral:rRNA from 1 species